GUCCACGCCGUAAACGAUGAGUACUGGGUGUCGCGGGUAGUUGACCCCUGCGGUGCCGUAGCUAACGCGUUAAGUACUCCGCCUGGGGAUUACGGUCGCAAGAUUAAAACUCAAAGGAAUUGACGGGGGCCAGCACAAGCGGUGGAGCAUGUGGUUUAAUUCGACGCAACGCGAAGAACCUUACCUGGGCUAGACAACGGUGGACCUCCCCAGAGAUGGGGCUUUCCCUUCGGGGACUGCCGGUUCAGGUGCUGCAUGGCUGUCGU
rnacentral:rRNA from 1 species